rnacentral:rRNA from 1 species
AACGAACGCUGGCGGCAGGCUUAACACAUGCAAGUUGAACGCGAAUAAGAUUGUGCUUGCACAAUUUUAAGAGAGUGGCGCACGGGUGAGUAACACGUGGGAACAUACCUUGAAGUGGGGGAUAACAUUUGGAAACGGAUGCUAAUACCGCAUAAUCCCUGAGGGGGAAAGAUUAAUCGCUUUAAGAUUGGCCCGCGGCAGAUUAGGUAGUUGGUGGGGUAAAGGCCUACCAAGCCGACGAUCUAUAGCUGGUCUGAGAGGACGAUCAGCCACAUUGGAACUGAGACACGGUCCAA